rnacentral:lncRNA from 1 species
UUAUCCUUGUCUUCAGUUAUCCGCAUCCAGUUAUCCUUGUCUGCCGUUAUCCUUCACAAGCCCCAACAGCGAUGAUAAGUAUAUAAGCCAUCACAGGUCGCAUAAUAGAGCUCACAAGGUCAGGUAAUAUAAGAACCAACAGCGAUGAUAAUAAUAAGUAUAUAAGCCAUCACAAGUCGAAUAAUAGAGCCCACAGGUUCACGGUAGUAUUUACCACAAAUACCAACAGUUAAAUAGCUGUACACAUUGUUGGCAAAAAAGACCACAGUUCACAUAGCAAAAUACUAAGUGCUAAGAUAGAAAUUCAUCUAGAU